GCCAGAAGCCAUUUAAAAAUUAAAAAAAACACUUUUGAUAAAAGCUAGGGUUUUUAGUAGCUAAAAUGAGUCGUUUCUUUCUUAAGUAAAAUAAAUGUGAAUAAGUGUUUAUUUCAUUUAAACAAAACUAAUAAAUAUUUGUUGUUCCCGAUUCUAUCCGCAACGGAAUCCAUUACGAAUUACAGUCAUAUACGUCUUCAUAAGAAUCAGUACCAAUUCGCGUUGACAUGAAGUUCUUUUUGGGAGUUGUGGCUCUUCUACUUUUAUCCCUUGUGGGAACUCAAGCUCGUCUUAGAGCGGACUACCCGUCGCCCGAAAAAACUGGAUAAAUGGCUAAAAAAUCAAAGCCAUUCAAAUUGGAAUAAGACUCAGCAUUUACCACCAAAUUGGAAAACAUUCGGAAAACAGUUUAUAAUAAGUCGAUACAUAUUCCACCAGUUCCUGUUUAUAAAAUUGGUUAAUACUUACUCUUUUCAAUUUGUUAAUGCUUUUUUAUCAAGUCAUAAACGGUUGGAAAGAACUCAAAAAUAUUCACGUAAAUUGUAAGAAAAUCUUGUUUGAAUGAAUUAAAUUAAUGACUUCCAACUCAA